UACGUAGGGUCCGAGCGUUGUCCGGAAUUACUGGGCGUAAAGAGCUCGUAGGUGGUUUGUCGCGUUGUUCGUGAAAACUCACAGCUCAACUGUGGGCGUGCGGGCGAUACGGGCAGACUAGAGUACUGCAGGGGAGACUGGAAUUCCUGGUGUAGCGGUGGAAUGCGCAGAUAUCAGGAGGAACACCAGUGGCGAAGGCGACUACCUGGCCUGUUCUUGACGCUGAGGCGCGAAAGCUAGGGGAGCAAACGGG
rnacentral:rRNA from 1 species